CCUACGGGAGGCAGCAGUGGGGAAUUUUGCGCAAUGGGGGCAACCCUGACGCAGCAACGCCGCGUGAGUGAUGAAGGCCUUCGGGUCGUAAAGCUCUGUCAGAGGGGAAGAAAUGCAGGUGGUGAACAACCAUUCUGUUUGACGGUACCCUCAAAGGAAGCACCGGCUAACUCCGUGCCAGCAGCCGCGGUAAUACGGAGGGUGCGAGCGUUGUUCGAAAUUAUUGGGCGUAAAGCGCGUGUAGGCGGUUUGUUAAGUCUGAGGUGAAAGCCCCGGGCUCAACCUGGGAAGUGUAUUGGAUACUGGCAGACUUGAGUACGGGAGAGGAGAGUGGAAUUCCCGGUGUAGCGGUAAAAUGCAUAGAUAUCGGGAGGAACACCAGUGGCGAAGGCGGCAUCCUGGCUCAUAACUGACGCUGAGUCGCGAAAGCGUGGGGAUCAAACAGGAUUAGAUCCCCCUGUAGU
rnacentral:rRNA from 1 species